rnacentral:rRNA from 1 species
GAUGAACGCUGGCGGCGUGCCUAAUACAUGCAAGUCGAGCGAACAGACAAGGAGCUUGCUCCUCUGACGUUAGCGGCGGACGGGUGAGUAACACGUGGAUAACCUACCUAUAAGACUGGGAUAACUUCGGGAAACCGGAGCUAAUACCGGAUAAUAUAUUGAACCGCAUGGUUCAAUAGUGAAAGACGGUUUUGCUGUCACUUAUAGAUGGAUCCGCGCCGCAUUAGCUAGUUGGUAGGGUAACGGCUUACCAAGGCAACGAUGCGUAGCCGACCUGAGAGGGUGAUCGGCCACACUGGAACUGAGACACGGUCCAGACUCCUACGGGAGGCAGCAGUAGGGAAUCUUCCGCAAUGGGCGAAAGCCUGACGGAGCAACGCCGCGUGAGUGAUGAAGGUCUUCGGAUCGUAAAACUCUGUUAUUAGGGAAGAACAAAUGUGUAAGUAACUAUGCACGUCUUGACGGUACCUAAUCAGAAAGCCACGGCUAACUACGUG